rnacentral:lncRNA from 1 species
GGAUUGUUUAGGGGUAGGAACGUGGGGGUUCGUAAACAAUGAUUUGGAUCGUCUUUUCCAAACAAGAAGGGUUUGAGGCAAGGGAACCUAUUAUUGCUGGUGCUUUUCAAUCUUCUAUAGCGGAUAUGCUUGCUAUUUUGAUCUUAAGAGCUAAGGAAAAUGGAAAUUUUAGAGGACUAGUGCCUCACCUAGUAGAUGGAGGGCUACCCAUUCUCCAAUACG